GAUGAUUUGUUUGAUCAACUAAAGGGUUGUUUUUUGAUCCUUCGAUGUCGGCUCUUCCUAUCAUUGUGAAGCAGAAUUCACCAAGUGUUGGAUUGUUCA
rnacentral:ncRNA from 1 species